rnacentral:rRNA from 1 species
CGGUGGAGCAUGUGGUUUAAUUCGAAGCAACGCGAAGUAACCUUACCAGGUCUUGACAUCCCGAUGCUAUUUCUAGAGAUAGAAAGUUACUUCGGUACAUCGGUGACAGGUGGUGCAUGGUUGUCGCCAGCUCGUGUCGUGAGAUGUUGGGUUAAGUCCCGCAACGAGCGCAACCCCUAUUGUUAGUUGCCAUCAUUCAGUUGGGCACUCUAGCGAGACUGCCGGUAAUAAACCGGAGAAGUGGGAUGACGUCAAAUCAUCAUGCCCCUUAUGACCUGGGCUACACACGUGCUACAAUGGUUGGUACAACGAGUUGCGAGUCGGUGACGGCGAGCUAAUCUCUUAAAGCCAAUCUCAGUUCGGAUUGUAGGCUGCAACUCGCCUACAUGAAGUCGGAAUCGCUAGUAAUCGCGGAUCAGCACGCCGCGGUGAAUACGUUCCCGGGCCUU